rnacentral:rRNA from 1 species
AGUGCUGAAAGCAUCUAAGCACGAAACUUGCCCCGAGAUGAGUUCUCCCUGACCCUUUAAGGGUCCUGAAGGAACGUUGAAGACGACGACGUUGAUAGGCCGGGUGUGUAAGCGCAGCGAUGCGUUGAGCUAACCGGUACUAAUGAACCGUGAGGCUUAACCUUACAACGCCGAAGGUGUUU